GAAGGCAUGGGCAAAAACAUACCCUGAGAACAAGCAUGUCAAGUUCCUAGCUGAUGGCUCUGCAACCUACACGCAUGCUCUUGGCCUGGAGCUUGACCUCAAAGAGAGAGGCCUUGGCACUCGUUCAAGGAGGUUUGCUCUUCUGAUUGACGACCUCAAGGUGGUAGCUGCAAAUGUUGAAUCUGGGGGAGAAUUCACCGUGUCCAGUGCUGAUGAUAUGCUUGCGGUUCUCUAGAAAAGAAAAUUAGCAGCAGCAGCUAUCCUUUUAUUUUAUCACUGUGGACAGAACACAUCCUAUCUUAUCUCAAUCUAGUGAGUUAAAAAAUGUUAGAUCAUUNNN
rnacentral:lncRNA from 1 species